GACUCAGGCCAAAUGAGGGUUUUGCCUUGGCUCAGCAGUUCUGGGAAACAGAGCAGCCAUUGAGGCUCCGGGCUCUCUGCGGACACAGCUGUUGAACAGAUCCGCUCAGUCUGCUGUGAGCUGAUGCUGCUGCGGUCGAGUCACGGUCUGCUGCGGUCCCCGUCUGCACAUUGGACCAGAACAUCUUUGUUGGCUUGGUUCUGGUAGUCUAUCACUUGCAGAGUCCGUUUGAUAGGCACCAAGCUACCCAGUUCAUCGUAAGCCACCAUAGCUUUGAGUAAAAACACAAUAUCCUUUUUUUUUUUAAUCCUGAAGAG